rnacentral:rRNA from 1 species
CAGGAUGGAUGUGUCUCUUCGGAGACGGUAUGACAGGUGCUGCAUGGCCGUCGUCAGCUCGUGCCGUGAGGUGUUGGGUUAAGUCCGCAACGAGCGCAACCCCUAUCUUUAGUUGCCAUCAGUCCGGCUGGGCACUCUAUGGAGACUGCCACCUAAAGUGGAGGAAGGUGGGGAUGACGUCAAGUCAGCAUGGCCCUUACGUCCGGGGCUACACACGUGCUACAAUGGCCGGUACAAAGGGUUGCGAAGCCGUGAGGUGGAGCGAAUCCCAAAAAGCCGGCCUCAGUUCGGAUUGGAGGCUGCAACUCGCCUCCAUGAAGUCGGAAUCGCUAGUAACCGCAGAUCAGCUACGUUGCGGUGAAUACGUUCCCGGGCCUU